CCUACGGGAGGCAGCAGUGAGGAAUAUUGGUCAAUGGCCGUAAGUCUGAACCAGCCAAGUCGCGUGAAGGAAGACGGCCCUACGGUUUGUAAACUUCUUUUAUAGGGGAAUAAAGGUAUCCACGUGUGUACCUUUUCAUGUAUCCUAUGAAUAAGCAUAGGCUAACUCGGUGCAACCAGCGGCGGUAGUACGGAGGAUGCGAGCGUUAUCGGGAUUUUUUGGGUUUAAAGGGUGCGAGGGUUGUUUUUUAGGACAGCGGUAAAAUGUCCGGGCUCAACCCGGACCGGCAGUUGAAACUGGGGGUCUUGAGUGGGCGAGAAGUAGGCGGAAUGCAUGGUGUAGCGGUGAAAUGCAUAGAUAUCACGAAGAACUCCGAUUGCGAAGGCAGCAUACCGGGGCGCGACUGACGCUGAGGUACGAAAGCGUGGGGAUCGAACAGGAUUAGAUACCCCAGUAGUC
rnacentral:rRNA from 1 species